CUAAAGUUUCUGAAGAAGUAGAAAGAGAAAGUAAUAAAAAAUUGAAAAGAGUAAAGUUAUUGGGUAAGAAGAAGAGAAGUAGAAAACGAGAACUUCAGUGAUUUAGUAGCCUCAAAUAAAGUCCAUGCCUCGUAUAUUUCUCAUCAAAUUUCAGAGAUUAGGACAGAAUUUUCCCAGCCUCCAUCCUUAUGCCGUCAAAAAUUAAUUUAUUUCUCGAGUUCCAUACUUCCCAUAGUAGGUUUGGAUUCUUUGGGAUGCAACUUGCCAGUGGAGAUUGGUUCCAAAUUCCUACAAUUUCGGAACAAAAAAAGUAGUGCAUGAAGAGUAUAUUAUGGUCUUCCACAACGAAUACAAGCUUCAUCAAUUUGAGGAAUUCUCUGGUGAAGCUUCACUUUAACCGGCAAGGCAUCAUGGAUCUUCCAAAUAAAACUUCAAAUCUUCGGUUGACACUUUAGGUUCCAUAUGGAGUCCAAAUCUGUUUUUUAGCAAAACGGACAUGUAAUUAGUCCAAAGGAGGGUGAUAAAAAAAUGUAAGCUACUGCAUACUCAGUUUUGACUGAGUAUUCCCCUGAUCUACUGUGAAUCCAAAUGGUUCCUUGUUGUUCUGGCAUGCAGUAGCAGCUAUACGGAAUAGAGGAGUGGUACCAAGCCAGGGAUCCUUUAAAAUUCUCGUAGAGGCUGAUUUAGAGACCUUGCGUUUCACACCUUUUUCCAACACCUUCCGCUCCUCCAACAGACUCUGCCAAGCACAGGAUUACCGAAUACCCGAACCUGCUUUCAAGAAUAAGGCAAGAAGUCUUUGAAACCCAUUCCUCUUGAACAUUUCUCUCUGCUCAUGGUGUCCCAAUUAACCCAUUGCAUCCUGCGUUCAUGUUAUUUUUGCCCCCACCAAAAUAUCAUCAUCAUUUUAUGCAACUCUUCAAGUAGAGAAUCAAGGACCUUAAAAUAGCUUAAUGAAUAAAUCGGAAUAGCAGUACCUAUAGCCUUGAUCAGCACCUCUCUCCCACUAGUUGAUAGUAGGUUCCUCUUUCAUUGGUUUAACUUCUUAGAGACUUUGUCUUUAAUGUAAGAAAAGCAGGAAAGUCACAAUUUAGAUUUUGGAGCAUAUUCUUAUCAAAGAAAAUAGCAGACUUAUUAUAAUUAAUUACCUGCCCACUUAAGCUGCUAUAAUCAUGUAGUAAACUGAUUAGAUUAACACAUUUGUUCUAGUUGGCCUUGCUAAAUAAAAGAGAGUCAUCCGUAAAAGGUAGGUGGUUGAUGGUAGGACAUCUGCUGUUCAGUCAAAGCCCAUGAAAUAGGUUAUUCUAUUCACUCUUGUGGAGUAAGAAGGAAAGACCUUCUACACAAAUUAGAAAAACGAUAGGGAGAUAGAUGAUCGCCUUGACGAAGCCCUCUAGUCGGCUUAAAGAAGCCAAAGGGACAGUCGUCCAAAAUAACAGAAUAAGAGCUAGUAGAAACACAUUCUUUCAUCUAACAAAUCCACUUAGCACAGAAACCCAGUUUCUCCAUCAUAAACCAUACAAAAUUCCAUUCCACCCUGUCGUAUGCCUUGCUCAUAUCAAGCUUGAGAGCCAUAUCACAAUCACCAUAAGAUUUAUUUUUCAUAAAAUGCAUGCAUUUGUGGGCUACCAUAAUAUUAUCACUAAUCAAUCUUUCUCUAAUAAUAAACGCACUCUUGACUGUCGCUGAUGAUUUGAUUCAUAAGAGGUUGAAGGCGGUGAACAAGAACUUUAGAAAUGAUUUAUAGAAAACUGUGCUCAGGAAUAUGGGUCUGAUCUGGUUCAUUGUCAUAGCAUUAGAAAUUUUUGGAAUUAGGUAUAUCUGGGUGUGGUUGAAGCCUUUGAGGAUUUUACUGCCCCCAAAAAAAUUCUUAACCACACAGCAGACAUCCUGCUUAACUAUGUUCCAAUAAUUCUAAAAAAAUCUACCUGUAAAUUCAUCCUCCCCAGGGCUGCCUCUGGGUAACUGAAAAUACUGCGAGUUUGAUUUCCUCCUCACUAACCGGUCGAGUUAGGUUUCGGUUUGUAGAGGCUGAAAUUUUCCUUUUGAGGCCUUCCAACAUUAUAGAGGGGUCUUGGGGUUGAACAGUGGUGAAUAAUUCCUCAAUUACAUUCUAGUCCUCUCUCCAAUAGCUUCAGAUGUUGUACACCAAUGCCCAUCUUCAUCUUCAAGCUGCCAGAUUUUGUUCUUUCUAUUUUGCUGCUGAUUUUUGGAGUGGAAGAACCAAGUAUUUUGGUCACCCCAUUUAACCACUGUAUUCGAAAUUUUUCCUUCCAAUAGCAUUCCUCUUGAAGGUAGGCAUUUGUUAACUCUUCCUCCAGCAUUAGUAUCUCUUCUUUGUUCGCUGUCCCCGGUGUGCUUUUCAGAACUUCCAACAUGUUUUCAAUUCUUUCCAUGGCCUUUUGAGCAUUUUCAGUACCUGACGCUUGCCAAAAGAAUAUCUCAUAUCUUUUGUUUUUUUAAUUUCUGAAAUAAUUAGAACAUAGUUGUACCUUCUUCGGUUACCAUUCUCUGAGUAUCUUUGAUAAUUCUGUCUAUUACUCCCUCUCCGCACCACCUUUCUUAGAAUCUGAAUCUUUUCUUAAUUUGCAUGUGCAGAUUUAGUAGAAAGGAAAAAUAAGAACACCGUUGAACUUUUUUCUAAUUAAUCUCUCUUGACAGUAUCUAUUCCACUGUGUGAAUUUUUCACCAGUGAAAUUCAUAUCAAUCAAGUUACAUUCAUUGCAAAAAUUGACAAAAUUCUUAAUUGAUUGCGGUGCUUUUACUCUUCCUUCCUCUGUUUUAUGAUUAACCAUGAUAGCGUUGUAGUCUCUGAUAAUCAUGUACCUAUCUCCCAGCUUUGAAAUCAUCUAAAGUAUCUCCUCAUAUUGAUGAGAUUGAACCUGGUCGAAACUGUGAAUGAAUACUCAGUACAGCCCAAAUUGCUUGCUUCUCCGAAUUCUUCUACGGUAAAGUAGAUGUAAAAUUCUGCUUUACCUUUUACUUCCACCUUAAUCCCUUCCUUCCAAGCCAACGCUAAUCCUCCUGCUAAUCCCAUAGGAUUGACACAGACACAAUCCUUGAAACUACAAUUCCUCAACCUUUCCUCCACAAACAAGGUUUGAUGUUUGGUUUUACAUAGAAACAUCACCUAAGGGAAAUAGGAUCUCUAGAUCCCUUUUAUGUUUGAACCCCUAGGGGUUUUUCCUAACCUCGGCAGUUGACAUUAGAGUUCUCAUGAGACCGUGGGUGCCUUUUUGGGUUGGCACCCUUUUUCCAGUCAACAUUUACCACUUCUGCAUCACCUUAAUUACCCAACAGCACCUCCCUCUCCUCUUCUCAGUCUUCCUUUUAACUCUAAUAAUGCUACUACUGCCUACUCCAAUAUAUGAGUUCCUUUCUAGAUGUUUGAGUUUCUGUUUUUUCUUUUGUUUCCAGCAAUAACAUGUGAAGCACCCACCUGAAAACUCCUGAAUUCUAUUUCAUUCACCUUUUUAUUAUUGUCUUGGUUCCUUUCUAUUUCUGUAGACCCUCCCAUAGCAUUUAGAGUUGCGUCAUCCUCUGCUACUGCAUCUAAUCCCUAGGCCUUAUUUUUACCAGUGAUUGAAAGGUUUGCAAAACUAUUUAAUAGAUUCACUUGGGUAGGUCUUUUACCAAACUAUUCUGAACUUCCAUUCCUCCUUUUAAGGUUUGGGUUGUUGUUUUCUUUUGAGUUUUCUAGCCUCCACCGCACGCUUAUAGCUUUCAGAUCACUCCUUCAUUUCAUCUCUAGUUUCUGAUUCUGUCCAAAAUUAUCAAGAUAUCUAUUGCAAUUUCGUGUCUCAUGACCAAGAAAACCACAAAAAGUUGCAAUAAACACCCAAUCGUUCAUAUUUAAGUAGAAUUUCAGAAACAAUUUUAUCAGGGCUUACCACCUUAAUUGAUUGACGCAAUGGGAGAAUAACAUUCAAAGACACUCGCACCUUUAUGAUUUUCUUUCGGUUCCUCAUGAUAAAGGUAUCAACCUCUAUCACCUCCCCAAGUCUUUUUCCAAUUUUCUUGGCUGCUUCUUUAGUUUUAUAGAAUUUCGGUAAACCCCAUAUUUGGAUUCACAUCGGUGUCCUUGAAAAAUCUUCCUAAUUAAUCUUUAUAUCUGUCCUUCACCUUCUGAGGUGAAUCAGAAAUUGUUUAAAGAGCCAGGGAGAGCCAAUUUUCACCCUGAUCAAAUCAACCUCCUUUGCAAAGAAAAAUGAGUAUACAUUUUCUCCAUGUGUUUUGAUUUGAAACCCUUAGGGGUGAUUUCAGAUUGCAGUAAACACUCCCUUCAAUGUACCCAUGUCAAACUCUUGUCCGUCAUUCUAUGCCCGAUUAAGCUCCGUGAACAGUCCUCCAUACCUUCCUUUAUAUCUUCUUCCUCCAGAAACACCAAUUUCUCUUCCAUAUCUUAUAUGGAUUCGGGUAUCUUAGAUUCUCUCUUUUUACAAUUUGAUAUUGUAUGUUACUCACUCUGUUUUUUAACUUCCUAGUUUACGAAACUGAAUUUUCAUGCAAUGGGAUUCGCACUCACUCUCAUGUACACAAAAUUUUAGUAGGGCACACUCACUCUCAUGCACACAAAAUCCUAGCAGAGCACGUCUUUACAAAACGAUAACAUUGCAUUGUAUAUAUAAUUUAUUUGUAUAAUACUUUAUAUUAUGUAUAAUUUUGAUUCUCGAGUAAUUUUCUUAGGGUA